GAUGAACGCUAGCGGGAGGCCUAACACAUGCAAGCCGAGCGGUAUUGUUUCUUCGGCAAUGAGAGAGCGGCGUACGGGUGCGUAACACGUGUGCAACCUGCCUUUAUCUGGGGGAUAGCGUUUCGAACGGAAGAUUAAUUCUCCAUAAUAUAUUGAACGGCAUCGUUUAAUAUUGAAAGCUCCGGCGGAUAGAGAUGGGCACGCGCAAGAUUAGCUAGUUGGUGAGGUAACGGCUCACCAAGGCGCUGAUCUUUAGGGGGCAUGAGAGGGUGAUCCCCCAGACCGGUACCACGACACAGACCAGAAUCCUACGGGGGGGAGGAGUGUGGAAGAUUGGUCAAGGAAUGCAAGCCUGAACCAGCCAUCCCGCGGGAAGGACGACUGCCGUAGGGGAUGUAAACUUCUUGUGAAUAAGGAUAAACCUAUCCUCGAGAGGGGAGCUGAAGGUACUAAAAGAAUAAGCACCGGCUAACUCCGUG
rnacentral:rRNA from 1 species